CAAUAGCGUAUAUUUAAGUUGUUGCAGUUAAAAAGCUCGUAGUUGGAUUUCGGGUGGGACGCAGCGGUCUCGCAUUGCGUUUGUACUGCUGCAGCCCUCCUUCUUGCCGGGGGCGGCCUCUCGGACUUCACUGUCUGGGGGUCAGAAUCGGCGAUGUUACUUUGAGUAAAUUAGAGUGUUCAAAGCAAGCUUACGCUCUGAAUAUAAUAGCAUGGGAUAACACGACAGGACUCUGGCCUAUCGUGUUGGUCUAUAGGACCAGAGUAAUGAUUAAGAGGGACAGUCGGGGGCAUUCGUAUUCCGUUGUCAGAGGUGAAAUUCUUGGAUUUACGGAAGACGAACAUCUGCGAAAGCAUUUGCCAAGGAUGUUUNCAUUA
rnacentral:rRNA from 1 species